UACGUAGGGUGCGAGCGUUGUCCGGAAUUACUGGGCGUAAAGAGCUCGUAGGUGGUUUGUCGCGUUGUUCGUGAAAACUCACAGCUCAACUGUGGGCGUGCGGGCGAUACGGGCAGACUGGAGUACUGCAGGGGAGACUGGAAUUCCUGGUGUAGCGGUGGAAUGCGCAGAUAUCAGGAGGAACACCGGUGGCGAAGGCGGGUCUCUGGGCCUGUACUGACGCUGAGGAGCGAAAGCGUGGGGAGCAAACAGG
rnacentral:rRNA from 1 species